UGGCCAGUGAUUGGCUAACGGCCAGAUGAGAGCAGUUGGCAGUUAUUUUGCAGGAGGCUUCUCAGGGAUGAAGGCAAGCUGGCCCCUAGCUGAUCAGCUGGUUGGUGAGGACUCUUCACGAAGUAAGGGACCAUUGUGAAGAUGGAAGAAUGCCCACAAAAUCCAGCUUGAAACCUGCUGGCUCUGAGGGUCCUGCUGGCUCAGCAGUGCUGGUAACCAAGAAGUAUCGCAGGCCCAGGUGUUUCUUCUGUCCUAACCAGAAAGUUACCCUUCUAUUUGCGGAGAGCUAUUGCCUAUCGGCCUGGACCAGCAGAUAACUCAGCACUCAUGAUCAGCUGUCAAGCUAUAACGGAGUGUUGAGGCAGUCCCUGAAACCACAGCGCCAUUUUGUAGGAACUAAGAAGCCAACCUCAAGGAAUCACUCGCCCCAAGAAGACUUUGUUCUGAUCUGAUGUGUUUCUAGCCUGGUGGAGCCUCAGCUAUCCAAAGGAAGAGCUGUUAAGAUGAUUGGAAUUUUGGUUUUUCCGAUUCACUCUUUUUUCUCUCCAGCCAUCUGCCUUAGACAGCAGGAGAAAAGGAAACUUAGCCUCAGAGGUGGGGUCCUUCGGAAGGACUGACAGUGGGCUAGCUCUCCUGCUGCUGGGAGCCUGAGUGCCUUUGGCUCCUUGUCCAGACCUCAGCUUUACCACGGAGGUUACCUGCUUACCAUCAACAUCGAAACUUGCCUCUUCCCCUGGGUGUAUUCUCCCUCUUUUGUGUACAGUUUGAUUCCUCCAAACUGCUCUCCCUGUGAAGAAAGCCGAUGGAAUUCAGGGAGCCUGGCCAGCCACCCAGGCCUUUAUAAAGGUCCUCGUACCACAGGAUGUAUGGGAGACCCAAUAAAGACUUUUGCAAAAUGCUUUACUGCUUUGAGCUGCUUAGGGUAUCUACUGAGAAGGAUUUUAUUUCUAUUCCUACACAAACUGGGCCGAGAGGAUGUCCUUGGCCCUUCCAAGUCCCUUUGAAUGAGACUUGUGUUCGGUAGAGAUGUGAGCCUGGCUGGCAUACUGGACAUCUGGCCUGGUUUUCUCUGCACAUUUAAUUUGUGGUGGGGGAAGACCCAAGGAAAGGUUUUUGUUUUUUUUUUUCACCAGAAUAGUCAGAUGGUUGAACAGUGUAGGAGGGAAGAAGCAGUGAUUCAUGUGGAAGUUCUGUAAUUUCACAAGUUA
rnacentral:lncRNA from 1 species